rnacentral:tRNA from 1 species
GGGGUGUUAGCUCAGUCGGUAGAGCAAGCGGCUUUUAACCGCUGGGUCGUUGGUUCGAGUCCAACACGCCCCACCA